GGAGCCAGAAAACAAGAUCUUAGUAUUACAUGGGCAAAUCUACAAGUUUGACAUUGUUUCAAAGCUUUAAAACUAUUAGUAUGCUGCUGCUGCUGCUAAGUUGCCACAGUCGUGUCCGACUCUGUGCGACCCCAUAGACGGCAGCCCGCCAGGCUCCUCUGUCCAUGGGAUUCUCCAGGCAAGAACACUGGAGUGGGUUGCCAUCUCCUCCUCCAAUGAAUGAAAGUGAAAAGUCAAAGUUAAGUCACUCAGUCGUGUCUGACUCUUAGCGACCCCAUGGACUGCAGCCCACCAGGCUCCUCCAUCCAUGGGAUUUAAAGCAAAUAAACAAACAGAAGACAAGAACUCCCCACAUGAGACCAUCUGGGCUCAGCGCUUGGGCAACUCCUGACACAGGAUGUGCUCACCUAAUGUCCACAGCGACGCUGAUGACACUCGGGCGUCCCGUGUCUCCUGGCUUGCACUUCUUUCUGCCCUUCCCUGUCACUUCCCUCCCUCAAAAGUCGCCUCCUCCAGGAAGUCCUCCAUGAAAAUGUCAUUCAUGAUUGCUGGUAGAACCGGGAGUACAGGAGCGGGGUUGCCCUGGAUGAAACUCCGGCCCCCAGCCCUCCUCCUGUUCUAGCCUUCCAGCCUCCUCUGAUCCAGGUGUCUUCCCAGAAACCACUGGCCAAAGGUCCAGGCUUUUCUGUCGCUCUUGUCCUGACCUACAGGAAAUCUGGGUCGCUGAGCCCAGCCCCCUGCCCCUUGGCAGGCCGGUUCUUAGACUGGCUUGGCGAAAGGGGGUCUCAGCGUCUUUGUGCGUUUCCGGGGAACAGGGUUCCACACGCAUCACGUGUCCCUCGCGAGCUGGCCUGCUCGCUUGCUCACACACUCGCUGGGUCCCACGGUUGCUCGUCGGCGGGUCACGCCUGGCCAGGCGUGCAGAGCACUUGCCCUGCUCCAGGGGCUGAGCUGGGCGCUUCGUCUGUAUUCACCCAUCGGACGCUUGCACGGCGUCAGGAGGGAGCCGCGGCCCCACGGCCCUCUCACGGGUGAGGACGCGGAGGCGCUCUCUCCCUGAGCGCUUGGUGGCCGGGCUCUGGGCUGCAGCUUGAUCUACAUCUGCCCCUUCCAUCCCCGCAGCACCCUGUGAUGGCUCUUGCAAUUCUAGGCGAGCCCAAAGCCUACGCAAUUUGGAGAGACUCUAAGAAGACCAAAGCAUCUUACUUCUGUAAAUGGCCCAACACACGCCAGCUGGGUGGACCCCCUGGUGAACUCCCUCUCGGAUUCUCGGGGGGCUCUGCGAGCCUACGCUCCCUUGGCUUCCGGGAAAAUCAGCCUGUGCUCAGAGGGGCGAGCUGACCCUCCCCGGGUCCCCCAGCUCAUGUGGAAGAGAUCUGACCCGAGUUCCCGGGGAAACCGCCCUCUCCAUGCCCUCCCCCGCAGCCACUCUCUCAGCCUUGCCUCAUUCUCCAGGUGAACUGGGCCAGUGAGGCGGGCCUCCAUCUGGCUCUGGGGUGGGGCAGUCAGAAACCCAGGCUUGGACCUUCAGAAUCACCUUGGGAGCUUGUCAAGAAUCCAUGGUCCUGGGCCUGCCCCCGCAGAUACAGCGUUAGUGGGUCUGAGCCAGGGCCUGGAAAUCUGUAUUUUCAGUGGGGCCCCCCAGUGAGGCUGCUCAGCCACUCCCUUUGGGGACAUGCUGCUUCUGGGACACCCCCUUCUGCCCUGUCGCCUGGCUGUGUCUGGCUCCCUGCCAGGCUGGGCCUGGCACCACGGCUGAGCAGGCCUCAUUUCUCAGGUAUGCAAUUAGCAGCCCCAAGAACAAUACGCUGUUUUAAUCAUUACAGCUCCCAGCCCGUCUGGUAAUUUGCUGCCUCUUUUACUGCAAUAACAAGCUCUGGCUUGGGAACAGGGGCGGAGCGCCGGGCUUUCAUCCCAGCCUUCCCACACGCCUGCAGUGGGGCCUGCGGGAGAGCCGGAGACACACCUCACACGUGGACAACCCGGGAAGGCUUCCCGGGGGAAGUGGCUGUGGGCUGUCCAUCAGCAGGACCCAGAAAGGGGCUGGAAUUUGGCCCAGUGCUGGGGAGAUAGUGGUAGACACGUGGUGAACACCAUUCACGCCCUCGUGGGGCCCACCCUCUUAUUAGAGAUCGCAGAGUAGAGAAGCCGCUGCACCCAGCAGGUCACAUGUGGCUGUGGUCGAAAGGGGGCCCCAUCUCGGCUGCGGUGGGGGCAGGGUUCAGGGCAGGCUUCCUGGGAGGAGGUGGUGUCCCUGCUGAGCCGUGGAGGGCAAGUAGGGCUGGGCCAGGCAAAGGGGGGCGUGGAUUGGGAUGGUGGAUGAGUUUUCUAGUCCCAAGGAAGUGCGUGUGCAGAGACCAGUGAGGCGUAAGUGGGACCCCAUCAUCCAGGCUGAGGGCUGGAACCCCAUCCGAAGGGGCCUGUGUCGCGGGUUUUUUUCUUUUUUCCGAAGACGGCUAUAGCAUGCUCUCCAAUCUCGCUUGCUCUUCUUUCAACGUGAUUUGACAUUCCUCCCCUCCAGUGCUGGGGUCUCUGUCCGCUUCCUUGGGCCCGGGAGGGGCUUCCUAGGUACACGGUGGAGCUUUGUGGAUGACACUCUGUGAUCUCCAAAGUCAGUUCAUAAAAAUGCUUUGCCACCUUGCUCUCUCAGGAUAUUUGUUCUUUGAACCCGCCUGCCAUGCUGGGAGGAAGCCCAAACUCAUCUGCUUGGAGAGACCCUGGGUAAGUGGUCCAGCCAACAGCCCUGCUGAGGUCCUGCUGAUGGCCCGCAUCAGCAACCAGGCAUGUGAGCGAAGACCUCUCCAGAUGGUUCCAGCCCCACCCACAGAGGCACUCAGCAUUGAGUUUUCCCAGCUGAGGCCCCAAACAUCACAGAGCGGGGUCAGGGCAUCCCCGAUGGGCUCUGUCCACUCUUGACCAACAAGACUCUGAGCGUAAUAAGGUGGCGGUUGUAUGCGGCUAAGUUUCGGGUAGUUUGGUGAAGACGGUGGAGGGAUGUUCUCUGGAGAGUGGGUGGGGAGGGCUGAGGCCGGAGACGGGGUCUGCUAGUGAAAUACAUAAAACUUCUAACUCCAGCAUUGGGACCGUGUUUGCCCAGCCCCCAGCAGUGUGGGAACCCCAGGUACACGGUGCCAUCCAGCCUCCGCCCGCACGCGGCCUCACCAGGCUGCCCUCCCCUUGGUCUCAGCUCUGGGUGUCACCGUGUUCUUUCUCAGGUCCAGUCAGCAUCUGUGUCCCUGCAGCAUCCUGGUGUUGGCAUCGCUCUGUCCUCAGAAUUCCCACGCACUCCUUCUCUCCUAUUCUGUCCUUUGAGGACUUGCCGAAGGUGACAGUCUAUUCUUCCACAGAAACAGCAGCUGUGGUUGCGUCAACUGCUCCUCGUAUGGUUUGAGUUGAAGACACGGGUUCAGGAGGAAGCUUCGCCAUGUCCAGCUGAGUGGCUUGGGCUCACCUACCCAAGUCUCUGCAGAGUUCUCUUCGGAGACAGGGAUAACAACAGUGCCUGCCUGCCUCCUCUCAGUACUGAGGGUGACAUGAGUCGACAAGGUAUUUAGCGCAGGGCAGGGGCUCCCUGGUGGCUCAGAUGGUAAAGAAUCCGCCUGUAAUGCAGAAGACCUGGGUUUGAUCCCUGGGUCGGGAAGAUCUCUUGGAGAAGGGAAUGGCGCCCCACUUUAGUAUUCUUGCCUGGAGAAUCCUGUGGACAGAGCAGCCCGGGGGGCUGCAGUCCAUGGGGUCACAAAGAGUCGGACACGACUGAGUGACUAACAUUUUAACAGGGGCUCAGUCAAUGUCAGCUCACACAAUGGGACCUAACCCUUGUCUCGCUGCCUCUUGUGGCUGUUGUCAAAAACAGUUGAGCUGGGACUUCCUGGUGGACUCCACACUCCCAGUGCAGGGGCCCGGGUUCGAUCUCUGGUCGAGGAACAAGAUCCCACAUGCUGCAACUACAGAUCCCUCAGGCUGCAACGAAGAUCAAAGGUCCUAUUUGCUUCAAGAUGUGGUGCAACCCCCCAAUGCAUUUUUUAAACAAAAAAAAAAAUUGAGCCAAAGAGCAGGAAAGGAUUUUAUGCACUGCGAAUUGCCAGGGUAGGAGAGGAGCUUGGCUGUCACUCUUUAUGAUCAUCUUGAAACAACUCAGUAUUGACCUAACCUGCUCUGGGGACCAGGAAGGGGUUAUGGGGACACUGGGAGGGCAUUGUCCUCCAGAGUCAAAGGUGGCUCUGUUCACAGCUGUCACCCUCUCUCCCCCAGCCUGGCUUCUGGCCCAGCCGCCCACAGAGAUAAAGUCUCUGCCUGUACCGUCCCACGCCCACCAUUUCCUUGUCAGGGUGAGGUCAUGGUCAGGGACAGGGACUUUCUGAAACAGCUGAGGGUGCUGAGGGGCUGGGCCUUGGUGGGAGUGGGGUUCACAAAUCCCUAGCCUCCCCUUUGGACACUGAGACCCUGCGGCUGCCACCUCGCCGUGUCCAGGGUUCCCUGGAUGGUGUGCAGGAGAGGUGCAGGGCUCAUGCUGACUCAGGUGGCCGUGGGCUGCCAGGGUGGCGGGGACAGUGGGAAUCCUGGGGCCCCCACGGGGCAAGGAAGGGGGCCUGGAGGCCGAGGGGCCUCGCCCUUCCCCCACCUCCAGGACAGACUGUCCGGUUGGACCUGACUCACACAGUGCACUUCCAUGUAAGAGUUUGAAAAAAAGUUAAAAAAAAAAAAAAAAUGAAGUCAAGAUUUUAAAUCAUUUACUGUAGUCCACUGAGCCUAUAAAGGGGAAUGGAUGGCCCAGGUCACAUGACCAGGCAGCGGCAGAAAUGGAACCAGAGCCUGAGGGAAUAGAGACUUGCUCUCUGCUUCUCCAAGCAUCCAUCUCCCCUUUCCCAUUUCUCUUACCAGAGCAGGGACCAAGGACUGGAGCCCGUGAUUCAAACUAAGCCAAUUGGUGCGUUCUGUUUCUCUGGCCACAGGGAUUGGCUCAGAGGUGAACAUGUGACCAAAGCAGGACCAAUCAGAGUGAAUCCCAGGACUUGGAGCUGGGAAUGCUGGGAGUGACAGGCUUUCUCCUUUCUACUCCAAGUGAUGGAGGUGAGCCCCCUUGGGCCAGGGCCGGGCCAGCCGGUGAGAGGGACCAGCCCUGCAAGAGGUUGAGAGAAGGUGCAGAGCACUUGUAUCCAGCCUCACUUGCUGCCAGAGAUUUUGACCUCUUCAUUGAUGUGAUGCUUUUGAACUGAGGUGUUGUAAAGACUCUUGAGAGUCCCUUGGACUGCAAGGAGAUCCAACCAGUCCGUCCUAAAGGAGAUCAGUCCGGAGUUUUCACUGGAAGGACUGAUGCUGAAGCUGAAACUCCAAUACUUUGGCCAUCUGAUGCGAAGAGCUGACUUGUUUGAAAAGACCCUGAUGCUGGGAAAGAUUGAGGGCAAGAGGAGAAGGGGAUGACAGAGGAUGAGAUGGUUGGAUGGCAUCGCCCACUCAAUGGACAUGAGUUUGAGCCAGCUCUGGGAGUUGGUGAUGGACAGAGAAGCCUGGCGUGCUGCAAAGAGUCAGACAUGACUGAGCGACUGAACUGAACUGAACUGAAGUUUAAAUCAGAGGCCAAGUUCAGCUACACAGCGCUCUAACUGAAAGGAUCUUCCUGUGCAGCUAUCUCUUGUUCCCAGGCCUGGGAGACUGCCAUGGCCAACAGGGCACUUGCGAGGUCACGGCCCUUUGACCUCUGCGCCUCUUCUCCAGGUUGCUCUCAUCCCCCACCCUCUGAAGCUCGCUGUAGAACCCAGACAGGCACCCAGGGGCUCCUCGCUUGUCCCUUGAAACCAGCGGGGCUGCCUUUCUCACUGGGGCCAUCCCGCCACAGCCCACCCACCAUCCACAAGCCCCAGGCGCUUCUGACCCUGAAUCAUCCACCUUCAGAGGCCUCCGCACCUGAGCUAUCAGGAAGACGCCUUCCCAGCCGAAUUCCCCUCUCACCCUCUGGCUGGGAGUGGCACGAGGAAAGCUUAGAGGGGGCUGCCUCCUAGCUGGUCAUGAGCCAGCUGUGUCCCAGGCGUCUGGAGGCCGCCCAGGGGCUCUUCUCCAGGUAAGGGCAGCGGCAACAGUUUAGCACACACUUACUGGUUCCAGUGCCGUGGCCGUCUCUUUCAGGGCAGUCUUUCGCUUCAUCUUCACCGCUUCCUGGGGGGGCCAGGAGUGUGGACGUGGCGUUCAGCGUAGGGCCGCUGGAGCCAGGCGGUCCAGGUUUGAAUCCUAGCAUUUCUACACACUCGCUAUGUGACCUUGGAAAAGUUACUUAACCUCCCUGUACCCCAGCUCUUCUCCUAUAAAAUGGGGAUGCUGCCUGCUAGACUCUUGAAUGAGAAGUUAAUACACAUAAUGGUCUUAGAACAACAAUGCCUGGCUCAUGGUGUGCUAUAUGAUGUUAGCUAUUAUUAUUAUUCCAUUUUAUAGAUGGCAAAACUGAGGCUCAAAGAGGUGCCUCAGAGCACACAGCUGAGUAAGCCAGGUCUGUGUCAUUCCAGAAUCAAUGACCCAUUUUAUUGCCCCUUGAAGUAACCCCAUAAGUGUGUAACUUGAAUGGUUUUCUGCCACUGGGACCAGCCAGGGCCCUGAGGCUCAACAGCGGGCAAGUGUAUAAGGAACCUAGCCGGGUCCUUUACUCCAGCCACAUAGGUUUAGAGGAGACCCUAGAGCUUAUCUAUAUCUAAGCUGUCCACCAUGGUAGCCACUAACCAUGGGGCUGUUGAGCCCUGGAUAUAGCUGGGCUAAGUGGAGAUCUGCGGUGAGGGUGAAAUACACAAAGGCAUAGCUUCCAAAGGCUGAGCACAAAGAAUGUGAAAUCUCCUUAUUGCCUUUUCUGGCCUCACCUUGCAGCAUGCUGGCUCUUAGUUUCCCGACCAGGCAUGGAACCUGAGCGCCCUGCGGUAGAAGCUCAGAGUCCUAAUCACUGAACCACCAGCGAAUUCCCCCCUUAAUACUUUUUUAUAUUGAAUACAGCUUGAAGAUGUUUUGGGUAUGUUAGGUUAAAUAACAUUAUUGAAACUAGUUUCACUUAUUCAUUUUCACUUUUUUAUGUGGCUGCUACAACACUUAUGACUCCCAUUGUAUUUCCAUUGGACUCUGCUGAUCCAGGCCAUUAUUCCAUUUUACAGAUGAGGAAAGUGAGGCUCACGGGUGUGAUUUGCUUUCGGGUUUUUGUUGGCUGAGCUGGGCCUCCUAAAUCCCACUCCAGGGUUCUUCCCGGGAACGCCUGUUGCUUCAGGAGGUAAGAGGUGAGCUGGGCUGCCCAAGGAGACUUGCCACCGUGGCUCUGCUCUGUCUCCCACGAUCAGUGCCCUUUCCCGCCCGCACCUCCUCCCACACACUCACAGCCUGCCACAGCCCUCUGCCCAAACCACGAGGUUGAAGAAUCACCCAAUGCAGGGAUUUCCGAGACCCCAUCAUUCACCUCGUCUGCCUGCAGAAAACAGCGGCCGAGCUGCUCUAGAUGGAAAACCAGCCUCUGCUUUGCAGGCCCACCAGGGGGCUUCGCUGGCGGCUCACGGGUAAGGAAUCCGCCUGCCAGUGUAGGAGACACGGGCUCGGUCCGUGGUCCGGGAGGAUCCUGCAGGCCAUGGACCAACCAAGCCCUUGAGCCACAACUAUUGAGCCUGUGCUCUAGAGCCCCGGGACUGUAUCUACUGAGCACAUAAACCGCAGCUACUGAAGCCCAUGAGCCCUGGAGCCCACGUUCCCCAGCAAGAGACGCUAUUGCCAUGAGAAGCCCCUGCUCACCGCAACUGGAGAAAAGACCAUGCAGCCAAAAACCCAGCAGAACCCCAAAAUAAAUAAAUUAAUUUAAAAAAGGACCUCCUACGUACUCACAGGAUUCUCUCUCAAAUAGUUGUGAGCAGGACUGAGGAGACAGUGGGCUGAGAUGCAGGAUCACCCAGCGGCAGGAAGAGCAGCACAGCAAAACUCGCUCUCAGCUUUCUGCCAGGUGAGUUUAAUAGCCUUUAUUGUUUCGACUGAGAGGUCCAUUAAUCUCCCAAGUGUUACCUGACAGUAAUUAACAAUCGGCAGCAGCGAAGUAGCAGUAAGCGUGCAGAACAACAGAGGGUUUUGGCUCGAUGGAUCACGUGGUCUGCUUGCGUUCUCUGUCCACGUGCCGUUGAAAAAGGAGCCACGGACACGUCAUCUUUCCUUUUACGGCUUCAUUCAUGAUUUUCACCUUCAAGGAUGGGUUAAAAAAAAUAAAGAAAUUUUAAAAACGACUUCCGGGAUGCAGGCUGUAUCGUCACGCCUCUCGCUCUGCUCCCUGUGGACUCCAGCACUCUCUCGUGGAAGUCUUCCUGGUGUGUGACCUUCAUCCCUCAGCCUGCCGUGUAGCCUCCUUCCCCUGGGGCUGGCCUCCGGGAUCAGCUGGGAGGUGGGGGUUGUGGAAAACCAGCCUGGAACAUCUGAACGGGAUGAGCUCCUGGUGGAGGGCGACGGCGGCUUCUUGCCCCCGCUCUUGCUCUGAGUGUCCUGGAGGAGUACCCCAUGCGCUCAGUCCUCCCAGGAAGAAAGGAAGCCACUUUCCAGCAGCAGCCAGGAGACAACAGUGUGAGGCAAUGACUUUUGAACGUUUCGAUUAAACUCACUGUGAGAAAUGUAUUUUCAUCCCCAUUUUCCAACAACACGCACACAUACCCACCUGAAGCCACAGCUUUAUGACAGCAGCCUUCCAUGACGGUGUGAACUGCUUUUUGUUUUUUUUUUUAAGCUCUCUUCCACCUUAUUCUAUUAAAAAGUUGUGCUCAGGAUCCACUGCACUGAUUUCACACCCCACGAGUGGGUGACAGCCUGCAGACUGAACAACGUGGAUGUAAGUGAGCAGGAACGCAGGCUCUGGGGACAGGCUUGCCUGUGCCUUGCUGCUAUUAGUAAAGCAAGCGCAAAGCUCCCGAGUUCGCAGGGCUGCCGUGAAGGCUGGAAAUACAGCGGGGAAGGCACGUGGCGUUCGGCAACGGCACAGGGAGCAGGGCCCGGUGGCUCUUGCUGCACGGAUGUGCCCAUUAUGGGGUUAGGGAAGGCGGGCUGUCGCCUCUGGGCUGUGAUUCGGGGGCACCCUGCCUGAGUGUGUCUCUCCACCCAGCAGGAUCUCACUGAAUCGCGUUAGAGAGUCGUUCCUUUACACUGAGCGUCGCCCUGCCCAGCUUGGGUGCCUUUCUGUGUAAAUUUACCCGGCUGCAGGUUGUGACCUGGGUCCCCAGUACUUUGGACAAAUGAGUUUGCCAUACUCUCCCAGCCCUGAAGGAUAAGAGGGAAGGAAAACCGGGGCAGAGAACGUGUCUGGGAUGUGGUGGGAGGGACUUCACUGGCGGUCCAGUGGUUACGAGUCUGCCUUCCAAUGCGGGGGAUGGGGGUUCAGUUCCUGGAAGGGACGUAAGAUCCCACGGGCUGCAAUUAAGACCCAGCACGGCCAAAUAAACAAACAUAUUUUAAAAGAAGAAGUUGAUGGGAGACCUGGAAGGUCUUUCCAGACACCUGGACUUAGAGCCUAGCCUGUGCCCACCCCGCCGCACCCCACCCCACCCUGCCCACCAGCCCCCGUCUCCCUUAAACAAGAGACACUCUGUGGUGUGGGUCUGGCCUCCCCAGCCACAGGCUGAGUUGUGGGGUCAGUCCCUUCACUUCCCGGAGCCCCAGGUUCCCCUCGGUCAUGCUGUGGUGAGAUUUCAAUGAAACGGUGCCUGUGAAGUAGCUCACACCACUGCUGGCGCACAGUAGGACCCCACGCGUCUUCGUUUCCUCUUUCCAACUCAUCUUCCCUCCCGACAUACUCCCUAAAAACCAGCUCUUGGGAACAGAUCUGCCUUGCGAGGAGUGGGCUCCCCAUCACUGGAAGAAUCUCCCUAAAAAAGGCUCGAGAACGAACAGCCAUGGUAGGAGAGAUUGAGACUGUUCUGAUUUGGGGCACUGAAUAGGUGCUUCCUACGUGUCUGUGGAAUAAAUAACUGUGACUCCUGUAUUGGGAAGGUUUUUCUAGAACACUGCUGAAACCUGGCUACACAUUAGAAUCCCUGGGGAAUUUCAAACACAUGGAUGCCUGGAUCUCAGUGCCAUGAAUUCUGACUUAACUGUUCUGAAAUGCAGUAUGGGCAUUAAUAUUUUUAAAAGUUUUCCAGGUGAUUCCAUGCGCAGCGCCUGCAUUUGAGAACUGGAACACCAAGUUUCCUUCUAGGUCCAAGAUGAUAAGUACGUGUUAUAAAGUCAUUUACACGCUAGUAUAAAUUUCAGUCAGAGGUAUUUCGUGCACUGUGUGAUAUAUGAUUUGUGGCUGAAUAAGCGGUUUUAAAAAUGUCAUCUCAGAGUUCAGCCACGUUUCCUUUAUAAGCAGCAGAAAGUGUUCGGGUGAGUCAGUGAAGCCUUUCUGCUGAGGGUGAAUGAUCCAGCAGCAUCCGUGGAAGCGGGGCAGGUGGGUUGAGUAAGCCCAGCCCGGGUGCAGAAACUUCUGGGGCUUCAGAAUUAAAACAGGAGCGGAAGCGGGGCAAGUGGGUUCACUAAGCCCAGCCCAGGUGCAGAAACUUCUGGGGCUUCAGAAUUAAAACAGGAGCGGAAGCGGGGCAAGUGGGUUCACUAAGCCCAGCCCGGGUGCAGAAACUUCUGGGGCUUCAGAAUUAAAACAGGAACGUCCAUUGGAUGGGAGAGGCCUAGCCCCGGACUCAGGGGGUUCCAGUCUGAUGAGGGAGGCACAGCCCGUGCUCCCAGGAGGAUCCUAGUCUAGAGAGAGCCCUCGCCACUCUCAGCCUCAGCCAGGGUUUCAGAGAGCGCCCUCUCUGCUCUCAGCUUCACCCAGGGUUUCAGAGAGAGCCCUCGCCGCUCUCAGCCUCAGCCAGGGUUUCAGAGAGAGCCCUUGCCGCUCUCAGCCUCAGCCAGGGUUUCAGAGAGAGCCCUCGCCGCUCUCAGCUUCACCCAGGGUUUUCCAAUUUACAGCAUGCUUUUCUCAUCCUCAGCAAGUGAUUGGUCUAAUGAGGUGCAGCCCUUCCACUCUUGGGGAACUCUGUAGAAUUCUCUCCAGGAUUCCCAGGCCGAUGGAAGAUGUGAUUCCAGAGUGUCCUUGGGGAGUCGUUGCUCUGAUGCCUCCCACAGUCCCCACCCUCUGGUGUCUGAGCAGGGGGCAGGGAGGCCUAGUCCCUGUUCCCUGGGAGCCCCUGGGGCUACUGUGGGAGUCAGCAACCGCACGCUCCUCUCGCACACCCAGCUGUAAUCAUCUCCUUGGUUGUCUGUCUCCUUCCCUGGAACACGCGUUCCUAAUGUGCAGGGACUCUGUGUUCCCUUUCUCUGGAUCCCCAGAAGGUUUGCUGACUGACCGAUGGACCAACUCAGUAAAUGAAUGGAUGACCUGGUCUGACGGUGGGAGCUGCAUUCAGACCUGCAGGGUGGCAAUGCCCCGCUCCUUUGGACAGCCUCAGAGCCCUCCCGCCCCCUCCUGAGAGUCCCUGAGUUUCUGAAGAGGAUUGCACACACUCUUGCAGGUCUCAUCCCAGCUGUGUCGCCGGCGGUCGAUGUGAUGUCCACGAUGACGCUGCGGGCAGGACCUCAGCAUCCCAGUGGAACGGACCCCUGUCCUCCACUCCCAUCCCCUGCUGCCCCCAGGCUAAGGGAGAGCAUCCCGGACCCGGCGAGGGACGAAACGCAUUAGCUCUCUGCAAAAGUGGCUGAGAGAUCCUCCACCGUGAGGUGACCUGCUUCCAGGAGGAUCUGUUUGUCCUUCAGAGUAGAAAUAAAUAGAAACUGACUCUUAUACCCGGCGGCAGGCUCCGGCUCCCAGAAGGCACUGCCUGAGUGUUCUGUGCUCAAUGGUGGUCUUGUGCUCUGGGCGGGGGGUCUGGAAACCCUGGUUGAUGUGACCUGAGUCGGGACAAAGUCGGACGAGGUCACAGCGCGUCAGGGAGGGGCUGUGACGGUGGCCAAGCCUCUCGGCUCCUGGCAGCUGCCUGUUGGCAGAGUCUAACAUUUAGCCGGAUUUGGCUCACAGUUGGAAGGACGUAGGGUUGGCAAGAGAACCCAGGAGUCCUGAUCCAAGUUAUCCUUUUUUCUUUUUUUUUUUUUUAAGUUUUGGGCCUCACCUCAUGGUGCGUGAGGGGCUUCCCUGGUGGCUCGGGCAGUAAAGAAUCCGCCUGCCCACGCAGAAGACACAGGCUGCAUCCCUGGGUCGGGAAGAUCCCUUGGAGGAAGGCAUGGCAACCCACUGCAGUAUUCUUACCUGGAGAAUCCCAUGGACAAGAGGAGCCUGGCGGGCUGCAGUCCAUGGGGUUGGGGGGUCGGACAGGACUGAGCGACGAGCACGCGUGCACAGCAUAUGAGAUCUUAGCGCUCCGACCAGGAAUCAGCCCCCACCCCCCGCGGUGGACCCCCAGGGGAGUCACGACCCGGGCUGUACUGGGGGUUCCCACCCUGAGCUGGUCUUUAGGGAAACAAGGUGGUGGGAAGGCCCGCCCACUGCCCUGGGACCCCCAUGAGGCCAGGCCUCGGGUCCACCAAGUAGUUGGCCUCGGACUGCGCGGGGCCCUGGCUGCCUGGGAGGUGUCUGGGCUCGUGGUGGGGUCUUGCCAGAGAGUUCUGAAAACAGGAAGGCCUGUGUGAUGAUCAGGGCCUAGUGCAAAGUGAGAGCGUGGGCCCCUCUCCAGAAGUUACUAAGAAUGUCAGGACGACGGGCACAGGACGUGAUUCCAGGCAAGGGCUCUGUGCACACUUCCCACGCUCCCCAAAAACCACUGUCUUCUUUUCUCGGGGCUCCUGGAACAAAGUCUCACAAGCCAGGUGGCUCUCAGUAACAGAUUCGUAUCGUCUCCCCAUCUGGAGGCUGGAUGUGUCGGGAGGGUCGGUCCCUUCCAGGGCUUUGGGGGAGUGUCUGUCCCAGGCCUUGUUCCCAGCUCCCGAGGUCUGGCUGGCAGUCUGUGGGUCCCCUUGGCUUGGAGCAGCAGCGCCCCGGUCUCUGCCUUCGCACGCUGUCCUCUCCCUGAGGAUUUAUGUGUCAGUGUCCCCUCUUGAGAGGACCCCCGGUCGUGUUGGGUUAGGGCCCACCCUAACGACCCCAUUCUAACUUGAUUACCUCUGUCAACACCCUGCUUUCAAAGACGAUCACGUUCUGAGAUACCGAGGGUCAGGACUUCAAAUAUUUGGGGGGAAGGUGCAAUUCUGCCGGUGGUCCUGGCCCGGCUGGAAGGCUGCCUCUAUUCCGGCUCAGCUGGCGGGGUUUACUGACUUGUCCGUGCCUGGCUCCCCCGGGGCAGGUGAAGAGGCCCUGGGUGAACCCCCUGUCCCCACGGAACCUCCUGGUGGGAGACAGGGUGGCCCUCAGGUCCUGGUGGCUGGCGGCCUCUGCUCAGCCUUGGGAGGGCUGGGGGAUCCGCCUUGGGGGGCAGAGACCCUGUGUAUCCCCCCGCUCUGUCUGUGGGGCCCAGUUGUCACGUGACGGCCACCAGGUCCCUGCCUGCUGUGGUGCCCUCCCUUCCCGUCCCGUGAGGGGGCUCUGGGGAGUGA
ensembl:lncRNA